rfam:Heligmosomoides polygyrus genome assembly, scaffold: HPBE_scaffold0003041
GCGCCGGUGGUGUAAGGCGUGGUAUUACUGCCCGGAAAGUAGAAGGUGCAGGUUCGAAUCUCGCCUGGCGCA